UGCCAGGCCCCCCCGCCCCCACGUGCCUUUGGAUGGUCAGACCCCACCCCUUGUCUGUUCAGCUGUGGGGAAGGGGCGCGUUCCCUUCUCCCAGCCGUCCUCAGACUUGGCCUCAGGGCCCUGUUCCACUAUGAAAAAUUAUUGGAGACUUGAAAGGGCUUUUGUUUAUGUGGUUGUAUCUAUUGAUAUUUACCAUAUUAGAAAUUAAAGCCGAGAAAUCAUAAAAUAUUUAUUCUUGAAGAACAAGGACAAAGCAUUACAUAUUAACAUAUAUAUUUUCAUGAAAAAUAACUACUUUCUGAAAUGAAAAAGUGCAGGAGGGGCAUCACUUCUGGGUGUUUUGCAGAUCUCUUUAAUGACUCACCUAAGAGAAGACAGCUGGGUGCUCAUGUCUGCCUUUGGACUCAGUUUGUUGAUGCCCCUAGAAAACCUCUCUGUAUAUUUGUUUCCAAAAGAGAGAGAGUGUAUAAGGCACACAAUGCCUUCUAACUUCGCAGAGCUUCUGGAAGAACCGGUGUCUUAGAUUGUCCCUGAUGUGGCCCUUGCAGGAUUCCUGGUAGUGCUCGGUUUCUCUACAACCUGACAAAUGCCAUAGGAUCCCAGCAGUCACAUGAAGGCAGGACACUAGGUCCAAGAGCCCAGUGAUUCUUGGAGCUGGAACUGGAUCCGUGGGACCUGGGAGUGCCCAGUGGAGCUUCGAGUAGCUUCCUGAGGACGCAGGAGGUGAAUGGAGCCACGACAGAUGGGUGUAUCUGGAGAGGCAGAGGGGAGAGGGAGAGUCUCCCAGGCCGUGGGAAACGACUGGGCACAUCUUCAAAGUGGGAAAGCGAGGCAUGGGGCCAAGGCCGACCGAGACCUUCAGGGCCCCAAGCGCUCGAAAGAUCACGGUGCUCACUCCCACCCUGCAUGGCAACUGAGAAUAAAGUUUAUUUUCCAUAGCGACGCUAAGCUUCCUGUGUGUGUUGGAAGUUGAAAUAGCCUCCUUCUAGUUUCUGGAUUGCAAAACUGUGGGUAAGUGCACAGCAGCAGAACUUGUCUCCUCUUUUGUUCUGUUGGUGCUGGGUUGUGUUAGUGCCUGCUGUAAGGGCUUGCUGUGCUGCUUGGGUCGUGUAUGGACCCUGGGGGUAAGUGGCGAGCAGGGUGAGUGGGGAUGGGAGCUCUGAGAGCGCCGGGCAUUCAGACCCUACUGCCAAGAGAGGGUCUGAGCCACCUGGCCUGGAACUGCCCUCCGGGGGGCAGAUGUAGUAGAAGCUUUGGCUCAGCCUGGAGUCCCCAAAUCCGGGGCUGGGUGGGCCAGUCUCUCCCAUGGCUUUCGGUUUUUCCGCUUCCCUGGGGGAUGGUGGACCUCAGUGGGGGUGGGGGUGGGAGGGUCCUGGAGGUGGAACGACCCCCACCCCAGCAGAGAGCCAGAGGCCCGGUCAGGGACAGAGGUCUCAGGGCUGUGCGGCGGUUUGUGGGCCCACUGGCUGUCUGAACGCCAGCUCUGCCAUCGACUCUGUGCCUUAGUUUUCUCAUCUGCAAGGUGGGGUUAAGGACGCCCAGCUCACAGGUCUGUCAUGAAGGCACAAUGAGAGUCAAGAGGUGAAACAUCCGGUGUGAAGAACGGGGCCAUCUCCACGAAGCACCAGCUUCAUUCCACCUUUGUCUCGUGCCAGAGCUCAGAUCCGAGUUCAUAGGAAUUGCUCGAUAAACAUCUGUUGAACACAAGAAUUAAUAAAUGAACACAUUCGUGGCUCACAUGAUAACAGUUCUCUCCGUAGGCAAGGCCAGUCCAACCACCUCAGGCAGAGAAGCUCAGAUCGAGAAAGGGAAAGUGACUUUAAGGGCCACGCAGCAGGCUGGACCUCUAUAGGGAGGUGCGAUCUUCUGGACCUAAUGAAGUUAUCACGGCCUAGCUUCUCAAAGUGUGGCCUGUGGAGCGCAGCUGCAGCAACCUGGAGCUGGGUAGAAAUGCAGACUCCAGGCUCUACCCCAGAUCUCUGUGGGUGGCACCCAGGAAUCUGCAUUUUACGAGGCCUCUUCUGACGCUUACAAAUUUUAGAAAUCACUGCUUACACAAUUUCUCAACAAAAAUGUGACAUCUAGCAGGGCUGACAUCAAAAGUGGAUGGGUGGGGGCCCCUGGGGGGCGCAGUCCGUUAAGCGUCCGACUCUUGAUCUCGGCUCAGGUCAUGGUCUCACGGUUCGUGAGUUCAAGCCCCACAAGCGGGCUCUGCACUGAUAAUGUACAGCCUGCUUGGGAUUCUGUUUCUACUGCUCUCUGACCCUCCCCGACUUGUGCUCUCUCUCUCUCUCUCUUUCUCAAAAUAAAUAAACUUAAAAAAAUUUUUUUGGAAAGGGGGGAUGGGUGUUUUCUGCCUAGACUUAGAAUUAUUUAUGUAUUUUUUAUUGAGGUAUAAUGGACAUACUGCAUUAUAUUAGUUUCAGACAUACAACAUAAUGAUUCAAUAUUUGUAUAUAUUACAA